rnacentral:rRNA from 1 species
GACGAACGCUGGCGGCGUGCUUAACACAUGCAAGUCGAACGGAAAGGCCCUGCUUUUGUGGGGUGCUCGAGUGGCGAACGGGUGAGUAACACGUGAGUAACCUGCCCUUGACUUUGGGAUAACUUCAGGAAACUGGGGCUAAUACCGGAUAGGAGCUCCUGCUGCAUGUUGGGGGUUGGAAAGUUUCGGCGGUUGGGGAUGGACUCGCGGCUUAUCAGCUUGUUGGUGGGGUAGUGGCUUACCAAGGCUUUGACGGGUAGCCGGCCUGAGAGGGUGACCGGCCCCAUUGGGACUGAGAUACGGCCCAGACUCCUACGGGAGGCAGCAGUGGGGAAUAUUGCACAAUGGGCGGAAGCCUGAUGCAGCAACGCCGCGUGCGGGAUGACGGCCUUCGGGUUGUAAACCGCUUUCGCCUGUGACGAAGCGUGAGUGACGGUAAUGGGUAAAGAAGCACCGGCUAACUACGUG